rnacentral:rRNA from 1 species
UACGAAGGGGGCUAGCGUUGUUCGGAAUUACUGGGCGUAAAGGGCGCGUAGGCGGCGUGUCAAGUCAGGCGUGAAAGCCCCGGGGCUCAACCUGGGAACCGCGCUUGAGACUGGCAUGCUCGAGUUCGGGAGAGGAUGGUGGAAUUCCCAGUGUAGAGGUGAAAUUCGUAGAUAUUGGGAAGAACACCGGAUGGCGAAGGCAGCCAUCUGGACCGACACUGACGCUGAGGCGCGAAAGCGUGGGGAGCAAACAGGG